rnacentral:tRNA from 1 species
UUAAAUGAAGCCAAAUUAGAGGCAUUUCAUUGUUAAUGAAAUAAUUGAAAAUCUUUCCAUUUAAA